rnacentral:lncRNA from 1 species
AUUUGUCAAAUGGGGAUUAAAAAAUCACGAAAUAAUUAAAUCGGAACCAACAAAUAAUGCAUGAGUGUCAGUGCAAGAGAACCGGCUCAUUGUAAGAAAGCCCAAGAGUAAGCUAUGUGAGGUUGAUGGCGAUGCUUAAAAAGCAAUCGACUUACACGGGUUUGAAAAUGGGCUCGAUAUUAGAUCGAGAAAAGUAUGAUUUUUUUUGUUUUUUUAAAAAUGGUUUUGCAUGAUAUGAUGAAAUUAAAUAAGGAAGCAGGGACAUAAAAAAAUAUUACAGGAAACAAAAUACUAAAAAAACAAAAUAAUAAUAAAAUAUAAAAUCUAAAAAGAAAUGAAAUACUAGCAAAAAAAAAUACUAAAGAAAAAUGAAAUACUGAAAAAAAGUUAAAAAGUACUAAAAUGCUAUUUACGAGUAUCAAACCCACUCCUCUUGAGACUAUGACACUACCCUUUCUCCACUAAGCU